rnacentral:misc_RNA from 1 species
UCACCUCGGGCGGGCCGGGCUCGGCCACCGAGCUGGCUUCCAUCACCUUGAAGCGCGAGGCGUUCGAGAAGUGGCGCACCGGCUACGCGUCGGCCUUUGCGGUGGUGCUGUUUGUCGCGGUGUUUGGCCUGGCCAACAUCUACGUCAAGGCACUGAACCACAUCAAGAGCCGCUGAAGGCGCAAGGCAAAACACCAUGAAACUCGGCAUCAGCACAGCGCAUUCGGUGGUCGAACCGACGGCCGGCACCCGCAUCGUGGCGGGUGUUCUGGUCGCCCUCUACGCCUUCAUCACCAUCGUGCCCCUGGCCUGGAUCAUCCUGACCGGGUUCAAGACACCGUCGGACGCCAUCAGCUACCCGCCCAAGGUGGUGUUCACACCGGUCACCGAGGGCUACUGCAACCUGUUCACCACCCGCUCGCGCCAGACGCCGGAGUACAUCGCGGCAUUGCCACCGGCCAGCGGUGCCUGCGAACAGAAGGCCCGCGAGAACAACAUGGCGGUGGUGGGUACGUCCAACUACGUGCCGCGGUUCAUCAAUUCACUGAUCAUCGCCGUGGGCUCCACCGUGUUGUCGGUCGGCCUGGGUGUGAUGGCGGCAUAUGCUUUCUCGCGCUUCAAAGUGCCGAUGAAAGACGACUUGCUGUUCUUCAUCCUGUCCACCCGCAUGAUGCCGCCCAUUGCGGUGGCCAUUCCGAUCUUCCUGAUGUACCGCGAACUGGGCCUGUCCGACACGCGGCUGGGCAUGAUCCUGUUGUACAGCGCGGUCAAUGUGUCUCUGGCGGUCUGGCUGCUCAAAGGCUUCAUUGACGAGAUCCCGCGCGAAUACGAAGAAGCGGCCAUGGUUGACGGCUACACGCGGCUGCAGGCCUUUCGCAAGGUGGUGCUGCCGCAAGCCACCACCGGCAUCGUGGCCACGGCCAUCUUCUGCCUGAUCUUCGCCUGGAACGAGUACGCUUUUGCCGUGCUGCUGACUUCUGGCACGGCGCAGACAGCGCCACCGUUCAUCCCCAUCAUCAUCGGCGAGGGCGGGCAGGACUGGCCGGCGGUGGCCGCCGGCACCACCUUGUUCCUGGUGCCCAUCCUGGUGUUCACUGUCCUGCUGCGCAAACACCUGCUGCGCGGCAUCACCUUUGGAGCGGUGCGCAAGUGAAGUCCACAUCCGGUUCGUCCUGGCCCAGGGCGCUGCGGCGCGGCCCCAUGGAACUGUUGGCCUGCAUCAUCAUCGCGGCCGGCAUCCUGAUGAUGCUGCAGCCGCUGGCGUUGGUGCUGUUCACCUGGUCUUUCCUGACCACGCUGGUGGGCACCGUGAUGUUCAUGGUGGUCU